UACGUAUGGUGCAAGCGUUAUCCGGAUUUACUGGGCGUAAAGGGAGCGCAGGCGGCGCGCCAAGUCUGAUGUGAAACCCCGGGGCUCAACCCCGGGCAUGCAUUGGAAACUGGCGGGCUGGAGUGCCGGAGAGGUAAGCGGAAUUCCUAGUGUAGCGGUGAAAUGCGUAGAUAUUAGGAGGAACACCAGUGGCGAAGGCGGCUUACUGGACGGCAACUGACGUUGAGGCCCGAAAGCGUGGGGAGCAAACAGG
rnacentral:rRNA from 1 species